AUUGAACGCUGGCGGCAGGCCUAACACAUGCAAGUCGAGCGGAUGAAGGGAGCUUGCUCCUGGAUUCAGCGGCGGACGGGCGAGUAAUGCCUAGGAAUCUGCCUGGCAGUGGGGGAUAACGUCCGGAAACGGGCGCUAAUACCGCAUACGUCCAGAGGGAGAAAGGGGGGGAUCAUCGGACCUCACGCCAUCAGAUGAGCCUAGGUCGGAUUAGCUAGUUGGUGGGGUAAAGGCCUACCAAGGCGACGAUCCGUAACUGGUCUGAGAGGAUGAUCAGUCACACUGGAACUGAGACACGGUCCAGACUCCUACGGGAGGCAGCAGUGGGGAAUAUUGGACAAUGGGCGAAAGCCUGAUCCAGCCAUGCCGCGUGUGUGAAGAAGGUCUUCGGAUUGUAAAGCACUUUUAGUUGGGAAGAAGGGCAGUAAGUUAAUACCUUGCUGUUUUGACGUUACCAACAGAAUAAGCACCGGCUAACUUCGUG
rnacentral:rRNA from 1 species